GACGAACGCUGGCGGCGUGCUUAACACAUGCAAGUCGAACGGAAAGGCCCUGCUUUUGUGGGGUGCUCGAGUGGCGAACGGGUGAGUAACACGUGAGUAACCUGCCCUUGACUUUGGGAUAACUUCAGGAAACUGGGGCUAAUACCGGAUAGGAGCUCCUGCUGCAUGGUGGGGGUUGGAAAGUUUCGGCGGUUGGGGAUGGACUCGCGGCUUAUCAGCUUGUUGGUGGGGUAGGGGCUUACCAAGGCUUUGACGGGUAGGCGGCCUGAGAGGGUGACCGGCCACAUUGGGACUGCGAUACGGCCCAGACUCCUACGGGAGGCAGCAGUGGGGAAUAUUGCACAAUGGGCGGAAGCCUGAUGCAGCAACGCCGCGUGCGGGAUGACGGCCUUCGGGUUGUAAACCGCUUUCGCCUGUGACGAAGCGUGAGUGACGGUAAUGGGUAAAGAAGCACCGGCUAACUACGUG
rnacentral:rRNA from 1 species